GACAAGUCGAACGCACAUUGCGGUCCGCGGAUACUGUUCCUGGACCACGCCUGGCUGAGGGUCGUGCUAUAUUACCAGACUGCCGGUCGUUUAGUUGUUUGGCGACGACGACGAUCUCGGCGACGAUGGGUUUCGGGGAACCAGUGGUGUUUUGUUACUGGCAACUGUGAUGGUUGUCGUGUGCACUACACGUUACACUGCCCGUUUCCUUAAAUCACUGUUCACACACUCAACCGAAUAAUACUGUUUGCGCGGUUUAUUCACACAGUACACAUUUAUAUUAUCGUAUUGCGGUCUCCCGUAUGCAACUAUAUUUAUAUGUUUUGUGUGUUAAUAAGUGCGGAGUUGUCGGACGUGUCUAUGAGUACACAUGAUGAAUGUGUGUGCACAAACUCUUUUACAAAGAGUUUAUCACAUUCUGUUUGUUGCCCACGCUCGUCCGUAGAUACUUGGCUUAGAGACAUACAAUUGUUUUCGAACGCAUAUAUAUUAUACGCUUGCAUACACUCUAUGGGCUGUAACGCUUUACGUAUGUAGAUGUUGUGCGACUAAGAAUUUAGAUAUGCGACCUCAGAUCAGGUGGGAUUACCCGCUGAAUUUAAGCAUAUCAAUAAGCGGA
rnacentral:rRNA from 1 species